GGGGUCGGGGCUUAGUUGGUCAAAGCGCCUGCCUCGUGAAGAGGAUAUCCGGGGUUCCAAUCCCAGCGGUGUCU
rnacentral:tRNA from 1 species